GCAUCUUCCUGGGGAUGGGAGUGCUAGUGAGAAGCUGCUCAGGGGAAUGGCGGAUGCAGACUAGGUCUGCAGGGCCCAGUGCUCAUUGCAUCCUGUCCCCACUUCAGAAAGAGCACAACAGCACAUAUUGCUC